AUUGAACGCUGGCGGCAGGCCUAACACAUGCAAGUCGAGCGGAUGAAGGGAGCUUGCUCCUGGAUUCAGCGGCGGACGGGUGAGUAAUGCCUAGGAAUCUGCCUGGUAGUGGGGGAUAACGUCCGGAAACGGGCGCUAAUACCGCAUACGUCCUGAGGGAGAAAGUGGGGGAUCUUCGGACCUCACGCUAUCAGAUGAGCCUAGGUCGGAUUAGCUAGUUGGUGGGGUAAAGGCCUACCAAGGCGACGAUCCGUAACUGGUCUGAGAGGAUGAUCAGUCACACUGGAACUGAGACACGGUCCAGACUCCUACGGGAGGCAGCAGUGGGGAAUAUUGGACAAUGGGCGAAAGCCUGAUCCAGCCAUGCCGCGUGUGUGAAGAAGGUCUUCGGAUUGUAAAGCACUUUAAGUUGGGAGGAAGAGCAGUAAGUUAAUACCUUGCUGUUUUGACGUUACCAACAGAAUAAGCACCGGCUAACUUCAUG
rnacentral:rRNA from 1 species